AAAGAAACUAACAAGGAUUCCCCCAGUAACGGCGAGUGAAGCGGGAAGAGCUCAAGCUUAAAAUCUCCAUACUUGUAUGGCGAAUUGUAGUCUAUUGAGGCUGUUGUCAGCAUCGCGAUUGGGGACAAGUCCCUUGGAAAAGGGCAGCAUAGAGGGUGAUACUCCCGUCUCUGCUCCAAUCUGCGGUGUGUACGAUACGCUUUCUUUGAGUCGAGUUGUUUGGGAAUACAGCUCAAAGUAGGUGGUAAAUUCCAUCUAAAGCUAAAUAUUGGUGCGAGACCGAUAGCGAACAAGUACCGUGAGGGAAAGAUGAAAAGAACUUUGAAAAGAGAGUUAAAGAGUACCUGAAACUGUUGAAAGGGAACCGUAUCGUUUCCAGUGUUGUAUCCUGUGCAUAUUUCAUUCGCGGAGUAAUUUGCGGGUGCCCUGUGCAUGGGUGUGACGUCAGGGUCAGUUUGUAUGCUGCGGGAGAUGGUCAGUGAGGAGGUGCGUCACUUCGGUGAAAGUUAUAUCUCGCUGUCUAGUAGCCGUGGUUGAGACUGAGGUGCCUACAACAUGCCUUAAGGUUCCGUGUUGUCUCGUGUUGGUGACUGCUUUGAUAGCUUGCUAUGUCUGUGGUUUAUUAGUGCGAUUGAUGAUGCGGAUAACUUUUGCUGUUCGGGACUCUGGCGAAAUGGAGCGA
rnacentral:rRNA from 1 species